rnacentral:rRNA from 1 species
UCAUAUGCUUGUCUCAAAGAUUAAGCCAUGCAUGUCUAAGUACAUGCCGCAUUAAGGUGAAACCGCGAAUGGCUCAUUAAAUCAGUUAUGGUUCCUUAGAUCGUACCAAUCCUACUUGGAUAACUGUGGUAAUUCUAGAGCUAAUACAUGCCGAUAAUGCUCCAAUCCCUCGCGGGAAACGAGCGCUUUUAUUAGAACAAGACCAAUACGGGCCACUCGAAGCGGUGUCUCGGCCGUCAAAAAGUCGAGCCCGCCUAGAACCCGUCUCAAAAACUUGGUGACUCUGGAUAACUUUGAGCUGAUCGCACGGCCCUCGCGCCGGCGACGCAUCUUUCAAAUGUCUGACUUAUCAACUGUCGAUGGUAGGUUAUGUGCCUACCAUGGUUGUAACGGGUAACGGAGAAUCAGGGUUCGAUUCCGGAGAGGGAGCCUGAGAAACGGCUACCACAUCCAAGGAAGGCAGCAGGCACGCAAAUUACCCACUCCCGGCACGGGGAGGUAGUGACGAAAAAUAACAAUACGGGACUCUUCCGAGGCCUCGUAAUUGGAAUGAGCACACUUUAAAACCUUUAGCGAGGAUCUAUUGGAGGGCAAGUCUGGUGCCAGCAGCCGCGGUAAUUCCAGCUCCAAUAGCGUAUAUUAAAGUUGUUGCGGUUAAAAAGCUCGUAGUUGGAUCUCGGUGCCGGACCGACGGUCCGCCCUUCGUUUGGCGGUACACUGUCGGCCCCGGAGCCAUCAACCCGCCGGCCUUGUCCCUCGAUGCUCUUCACCGAGUGUCGUGCGGCGACCGGAACGUUUACUUUGAACAAAUUAGAGUGCUCAAGGCAGGCGCAGUCCCCGCCCGCAUAGCCCAGCAUGGAAUAAUGGAAUAGGACCUCGGUUCUAUUUUGUUGGUUCUUUCGGAACCCGAGGUAAUGAUUAAUAGGGACAGACGGGGGCAUUCGUAUUGCGGCGCUAGAGGUGAAAUUCUUGGACCGCCGCAAGACGAACUACUGCGAAAGCAUUUGCCAAGAAUGUUUUCAUUAAUCAAGAACGAAAGUUAGAGGUUCGAAGGCGAUCAGAUACCGCCCUAGUUCUAACCAUAAACGAUGCCGACCAGCGAUCCGCCGGAGUUCCUCCGAUGACUCGGCGGGCAGCUUCCGGGAAACCUAAAGUUUUUGGGUUCCGGGGGAAGUAUGGUUGCAAAGCUGAAACUUAAAGGAAUUGACGGAAGGGCACCACCAGGAGUGGAGCCUGCGGCUUARUUUGACUCAACACGGGGAAACUCACCCGGCCCGGACACUGGAAGGAUUGACAGAUUGAGAGCUCUUUCUUGAUUCGGUGGUUGGUGGUGCAUGGCCGUUCUUAGUUGGUGGAAAUUUGAUUUGUCUGGUUGAUUCCGAUAACGAACGAGACUCUAGCCUGCUAAAUAGCUGAUCCAUACUAUCGGUGCGCCGUUACCUCGCCUUCGCGAUCCGUCGCGUCUCCGGGUCGUUCUUACGGUCCCGUCGGUGUUAUACCUUGGCUUUCUGCGGUUGGCUUCUUUUUCGGCCUGGCUCAGUUGGUAUUUGGUUCAUUCCACUUGCCUUCGGGGUUCUAGUCGGGGAGUUGUUGAUCGUAUGUUUACCUUGGCUUACCCGGCGGAUCAACCGCUUGGCGGCUUGGGUUAAAGAUGUUGGCGGUGAUGUUGGUGAGAGUCGGCCUCCGGAGUGGGUCACUCGCUUCUUAGAGGGACAAGCGGCGUAUAGCCGCACGAGAUUGAGCAAUAACAGGUCUGUGAUGCCCUUAGAUGUCCGGGGCCGCACGCGCGCUACAAUGAAACGGUGAGCAGGUCUGUUGCCCUCGGCCGAGAGGCCUGGGUAACCCUGUGAAUCCCUUUCUUGGUUGGGAUCGGGGCUUGAAACCAACCCCGUGAACUAGGAAUUCCUAGUAUGCGCGAGUCAUCAACUUGCGUAGACUACGUCCCUGCCCUUUGUACACACCGCCCGUCGCUACUACCGAUUGAAUGAUUUAGUGAGAUCUUCGGACUGGCGGUCGCGGCGGCCCUCGGGUCGCUGCGGCGUGCCGGGAAGAUGACCGAACUUGACCAUUUAGAGGAAGUAAAAGUCGUAACAAGGUUUCC